rnacentral:rRNA from 1 species
AUUGAACGCUGGCGGCGUGCUUAACACAUGCAAGUCGAGCGGUAAGGCCCUUUCGGGGGUACACGAGCGGCGAACGGGUGAGUAACACGUGGGUGACCUGCCCUCAGCUCUGGGAUAAGCCUGGGAAACCGGGUCUAAUACUGGAUAUGACUCCAUGACGCAUGUUGUGGGGUGAAAAGCCUUGUGCGGCUGAGGAUGGGCCCGCGGCCUAUCAGCUUGUUGGUGGGGUGAUGGCCUACCAAGGCGACGACGGGUAGCCGGCCUGAGAGGGCGACCGGCCACACUGGGACUGAGACACGGCCCAGACUCCUACGGGAGGCAGCAGUGGGGAAUCUUGCGCAAUGGGCGAAAGCCUGACGCAGCGACGCCGCGUGAGGGAUGACGGCCUGGU